AUUGAACGCUGGCGGCAUGCUUUACACAUGCAAGUCGAACGGCAGCACGGGGGCAACCCUGGUGGCGAGUGGCGAACGGGUGAGUAAUAUAUCGGAACGUGCCCUAGAGUGGGGGACAACCAGUCGAAAGAUUGGCUAAUACCGCAUACGAUCUCUGGAUGAAAGUGGGGGACCGCAAGGCCUCACGCACCUGGGGCGGCCGAUAUCUGAUUAGCUAGUUGGUGGGGUAAAGGCCUACCAAGGCGACGAUCAGUAGCUGGACUGAGAGGACGAUCAGCCACACUGGGACUGAGACACGGCCCAGACUCCUACGGGAGGCAGCAGUGGGGAAUUGUGGACAAUGGGCGAAAGCCUGAUCCAGCAAUGCCGCGUGAGUGAAGAAGGCCUUCGGGUUGUAAGGCUCUUUUGUCAGGGAAGAAACGGUGGGGGUUAAUACCCUCUGCUAAUGACGGUACCUGAAGAAUAAGCACCGGCUAACUACGUGCCAGCAGCCGCGGUAACAC
rnacentral:rRNA from 1 species